GGGACCACGCCCGGGUGUGGGGAAGAGCGGGUUGCCAGUCCUGUCGAACCGUGUUGGUCUUGUUCUGUCAGGUGUACUCGGACUUGGGUGGGAGUAAAUAUCCACAAGUUAAUCAUGGUACGGUUUAUUGGUGAGCAGAUGAUGCCCUGAAAGAAACCAAGAGAUCAUGUGGGAAAUCCUGUUGUGAAGAAGUCUGGGAAAACUGAAGUUGUUUUAAGAUACGCUCCUCUCCUUGAAGGAGAAUCUCAUGGAUGCUACUACCAUGCAAUCUGUUCAACACGAGGAUUCAACAUUGGAAGAUUACUUAGAAAUUUCCAAUUUCUGAACUCCGAGGAUCGACUUGUAGAUCAUUCAGUUGAACUGCACUGGUUACUCAGCUAACACACGCCACAAAGCUUCAGUUCACUGGGAUCUGACCUACUCUGAAUAACACGUUUUGAUCCAGCAUAAGCUAAGACAACUUUAAUAAGGCCAGAGGCUUUUCCAGGCAUCCGGAAGCAGCCCACAGGAAUUCUGAGAGUGGAGCUGAAUGAAGCCAUGGAGAUGAGUCAGAAUUUCACGAACCUGCUGGAUGGAUGUGAGGAGCUAAAGCCAGGUUGCUGUUAACUAUAUCUUAAGGAAACAUCUCUAAGUGAAUUGCGUUUUCUGAAGUCUGACUAAGGACAAAGCAUCAUCUUACUGGGAACUUGUUUAACCUGCCAAAAACCCUUCUGCACUCUGACUGCAAACCGUUCUGCAGCCCAGACUUGUCAUGCAAACGCCGCAUGACUUCAGGCUGUUUCCAGUCCAAAUAUAGUGCUACUUGAUUGAAAAAGUCCAAGAAGCAGUUCUCUUUUUGGCACAUGUUUAACAAUCCCCACUAAAUCCCUUCUGAAAUUCCGUGGUCCGGUUUGUCACAGAAGGUCACAGGCUUGCUAAGGCUGUCCCUCCGGACAUUUCAGCGACUCCUGCGUCUGCACAGCUACAAAAACUCUGCUGAAAUCUGGAAUGUUUUUCAAACCCUUUUCUCCCCUCCCUCUGAGGUCGCUGUGAGGAAGCAGUGACCGAGGGUAUCCUUGUGAAACUCCUGUUGACCCGUGAUCUGGAAUGUGCAGCCGGUUCAGGGCUGUGCCCUGCAUUGGGGUCUUGUGUUUGGGGUUUGUUUUUUGUACUGAAGAAGCCUUUCAGUUGAUAUUUGAGAAUGACUUUAAAAGCACGGCUAAUAAAGUGAUUUUGUUUGCUUGGCUGCUUAACCAAAGACUAUUAGUCAGGGCAAACUAAUGUAACUCCACUGAUAUUAAUAGAACUCAGAUACAAUAAUUGGAGAACAAGCCCUUAAAUUCUAGGGAAAUUAUUACACAGGCUGAGUUUAAAAAGCUCUAAUGGUGUCUAAUUAUGUUAUGAGUCUUUAAUACCCACUAAUUUCUAAUUAGCUUUUCCUUUCUUGUCAGCUUUUUCUUUUAUACCUUUCUUGUUGAUGUCAUAGUUGUACUGUGAGAAAACAAGAACUCUGUUCAAGAUAAACCUGCCCUGAGCUGUGCCUUCAGAUGUGCGGUACCUGCUCGGGACAAGAGGCUCAGCAGCCCUCAGGGCUUGCAUGUUCCUCUUGGAACAUUCAGAAAAUCAACAUGGAACCCUUUCUGUCUUUUGAAUGCCAGCUGGGAUUUUGCUGUAACUCUUAACCCAGCUGAUCAGGAAGGGAUUUUCCUGGGGACAAAGAUACCGUUCGAACUUGAGGGUUGUCUCGCUGCCAGAUUUCAAGCUCCUCUUACAAAUUGUUACGGCUCCUCAGA